rnacentral:pre_miRNA from 1 species
UAAGUACUCCCUUCAUCCCAAAAAUUUUGUCUUAGAUUUGUCUAAAUAUAAAUGUAUCUACUCAUAUUUUAAUAUUUAGGUACAUUCAUUUUUAGACAAACCUAAGACAAAAUAUUUGGGACAGAGGGAGUACAAC